GCUCAGAUAAGCUAUUUCCAGCAUUUUGAGGAGUUUUCCAACAAGAAAUUAACCUUACACCAGUCCCUGAAAAUCAAACCAGCUGAUCUUCUGGGACUGGUCAAAUCGAUCCCUGCAACCAUGCUGUUUUGCAACAUUUUUUUUCCCACCAAAUACUGGGGCAGGAUAUUUUUUUCCCCAGUUUGUUAGUGCAGGUAUUUUUUUUUGUCCAGAAUAGCCUUGCAGGAAAUUUUUUUUCAAAAUCACCCCCCCCCCUCAAAAGUUAAAUGGUCGGCCCUUUAAUGAUAUUCAUUAAAUGAUAAUCAUGAUAAUCAUUAAACUGUGAUACUAGUAUUCUGUGGUAUCGAUACCAGGCCCAAACAGGAAGUAGUCGAUACUGCACGGUAUCGAAAAAGUGUUUCGAUUACUUUUAAAAUUAGACAUCCAUUAUAAUCCUGCAGUUGUAUCAUCAUUUUCAUGGUUAUUUCUAAUAACAUUUAUGUACUUUUUGGUAUUUUGCUGCAUUUAACAAUUUAAUCAAACUUUUUUUAUACUUUAUUUGACAUUCUAUUCUCGCCGAGUAGAAUAAUUUAUGAAAAAGGCGGGAAAUAAAGUAAUUUUUAUUUUUUUAUGGAUUAAAAUGGCGGCUCAAAUUGUUACUGUUAAAAAUAUGUAACUUUUUGAAAAUUGGAGGAAGUAAUCGUUUGGGUAAUCGAUACCUCGAUACUUUAACCAAAAAGUAAUCUGUAUCGUAUCGAAACCGAUACUGGUGAUAUUGCCCAUCACUACAAUUCGCACUCACUGCAACCGCGCGAAAUUCCCCCCUCAGGAGUCUGGGACCAACCAAAAUGCCCUUAUAAAUCCGCCAUUUUGUGGUUCUAUGUUAUACACCCAAUCUAAAUGAACCCUGUUUUCUUUUUCCACGAAAACGUUCUACCUUAAGUGAUAUAUAGUCUUUCAUCCGGACCUUCGAAAAACAUUUUACUUAACCGUUAGUGGGAAAAUUGGAGGUAUUGAUGCUAACAUUAUGAUUGACACAUGUUCUGCAAUUACGGUAAUUAACCAAGUCGAUUUCCGUUUGGGACAAAGUUCGCGAAAAUUCUAAUUCGUUCUUGCGAACUACAGAAGGACAAUAUCAAACAGCGCAAACUGCAAGCGGAGAAAUUGUUCAGGUUUUAGGCGACGUCAAUCUUGAAUUGUCGCUAGGAAAUGCUACUUAUACGGUCAAAAUACUGAUGCGUUUUACCUAAAUUACAUUAUAUGGCUAUUUUGGGAAAGGAUUUUCUUGAACGUUUUGAUUGAGUUAUAGAUUUUAAUUCCGGCUAUCUCAAAAUUGCUCGCGAUAAUUUG